UUUUUUUUUUUGAAAGACGGGGUCUCACUAUGUUGCCCAGGCUGGUCUCAAACUCCCGGGCUCAAGUGAUCCUCCUGCCUCAGCCUCCCAAAGUGCUGGGAUUACGGGCGUGAGCCCAGUCUGUGGGCAAUUUUUAAGCCAUCACCAACACCGACACCGCAGGAAGAACAAGCCGUCCCUGGAUUUGCUUCCUGGCUGCGCUGCAGUCACACCUCGCAAAGCAGCAGCACGGCAGCCUGACUGCGCUCUGCACGCUGUUACUGUGCCCCGGAGCCCCUCGAGGAGACAAGUGAGACUGUGUUUCCCAGACACCCGCUCCAAGCCCGCGGCAGAGCCAGACCGGCAAUGGGAUCCUCAGCGUCUUCUCCCCGGGGACCAGGCAGAUCAGGCGCAGCCAAAGGGUCUGCAGACCGCCCCGCAGCCAGCCGGGAGGGAGGGGCAGGCGAGCUCUCCCCGGGAGGCGGGCCCUCCCCCACCGCGGACCUCCUGACACGGGGCGGGGUGGGCGCGGGGCAGGGGCCACACUGAGCGGCUCAGCCCGCCGCGUCUCCACGCUCUGGGCUCCUGGUCCCAGGGAGAGCCUGGCCCCGCCACCCACUUUAAGACCCCGCCAGUCACCGCGGCUCCCGCCGCAGCGCCCUGAGGCCCAAGGCUGGGCCCGCGUGAGCCCACAGCGCCCCCUGGAGGGAGGGUCCGACGCCGCUGCUGAACCCCCGCCUUCCUGAGGUCGCGACCCGGGACCCUCCCGGGCGCCCCAGCCUUCCCCCACAACCCCACAAAGAGGGUUCUGCGGUCCCCUUUGCACACGGAAGGAAACUGAGGCUCAGAAAAGCCAGGCGACUUGACCAAGCCCGACAGCAGAGGUGGGUUGGGGGAGCCGGGGGCUGGAGAGGAGACCCAGGGUGCGGCCGGAGGCGGGGUGGAGUGGGCCGGGGUGGAACCCAGUCCUGGAGGGCACGGGAGCUAGUCAGCUUCCAACGCCCCCCAACUCCUCCUACGGCCCUUGGCCCCUGUCUGGCCAGUUCCUUCUGGAAGCCACUAGCUGUGGGCUUAGCCCUGGAUCCACACCCACCCGAAGACCGGACAGUCAGCACCAUGUGUGAGCCUCCUCUACCAAGACCAUACCAUCUCCCGGGCCCAAGGGCACAUGAGAAGAUGGCCCUCUGCAGCCUGGGAGUGGGUCUUCCCCGGAACCUGACCGUGCCUGCACCUGAUCUCAGAUCUCCAGCCUCCAGAACCAUGAGAAAUAAACAUCUGAUGUCUCUAUUGCCACUGAGUCUAUGGUCACCCUGGGCUGAACUGGGCCAAACAGGAACCAGGAGGCAGAUGUCUAUGGCAAGAGUGUACCCAGCCCCAGAGGAGGCCGUCUGCUCAUCCUUCACCAAAACUCCCCUCAGAUCUGCUCAAGGAAGGGGAAAUGAGCAGGAGUAGGGGUUCUUCUGAGAUGAAAUGGGGGGAAGAAAACCCUGCAACCUGGGUGGGAGCAGCACCCUCCCACUGGAUCCUCAGGAAACCUCUCUUUCCAGGGGGCAGGGGAGAGGUGCAGCCAUCGGUUGUUUAGAGAGAAACCGUGUGUGCUGAAAAAAAGGUAACAGCCCGGCCAACACACCAUUAACUGGCUUCAACUCUCCCCAGGGUUGCAGCCUCCUGGGGGACGCUUCACUGAGGGCAGAGCCCAGCCUGUUGAGCAGCACAGGACAGGUACAAGAAUUCAGCCUAAACCCAUAGCCUCCUCCCACCCACGUGCCAAUCCCAGAAAAGUCACCCCAGAAGCAAAUCCCCAGGUGGCAGGAGCCAGAAACACUGGUUA